ensembl:lncRNA
UUUUUUUUUUUUUUUUUUUGCAAAUGUGCCACACGUGGUUAAAAGGAAUGUGGAUUAUUUGUUUUUUAGGAGAGUUUUUAUUUUUAAAUAGAUAAUCAAGGUUCUCAAUGUAAUUGAAAUCUAGCUUCAAUUAACAAUAUGCUAGAUCUCUCAAACCUUAGGAUGUUAGUCAGUGUAACACUAGACAAUGCUGCUGAAACAAAUAAACCCUGAACUCUCAGUGUGUUGGCAUCCGUAUCAUAGUCUGGUGCAGGGCAGGGGUUCUCCUUGGGGGCCCUUGUCCAACAGUGAUUCAGAGAUCCUGGAGGUUUCCAUCUUUUAAUUCUGCCAUCUCAGAGUUUUUCCACUUGUAGCCAUGUGGAUGAGAAGAGAGGGAACGUAGCUUGCACCUGCCUGUGAUAACCUUGGCCUGGAAGUGAUUUCUUACAUUCCUAUUGGUGGAAAUGCAGUCCCAUGGUUCCAAACUAACUGCGAGGGAGGCUGGGAAAUGUAGUCUUUCUGCAUGUCCAGGAAGAGGAAUGGUGUGAACACAGCAUUGUCUCUGACACACUAAACAUGUGCUAAAGAGUUCUUACACUUAUAGGAGGUUUGUCUGUCUUGUGUAACUUUCUCAGUUUUUGCUUAGAUAGUUUUAAGCAAUGUCUUUGGUGCAUUCAGCUUGAUGAUUAUUAUGUCCUCUUGGCAAAGUAGUUAAGAUUCCCAUCAGUAUGAAUGAAAGUGUUUUACAGAUAGGUCAGAGAAUGUUAAUACUUUAAAGGGCCUUUCUAUUCCUCCACUUUACAGAUAAGAACCACUGAGUCCUAGAGAGAGGAAGUCAUGGGUCUCACUCAUGACUGACAGGAUUGAAACCAACAUUUCAGUAACUUUGCCUUUCCCUGAUCAUGUUGUUCCCCCUCUGUCUUCACUCUGCUGAUUUCUUCACUUGCUCCAUACAGACCUCCCAGUGCCAAGUAUAUAAGGAGUGAUUAAUCUGAGCUUCUCCAGAAAGUCCAUUCCUGGUUGGCACUGGGAAUAAGAAAUCUCAGAGUAUAAAAUAACAUCAAGUGGUAGCACUUUUGUGAAUGGCUCCCAAAUUAGUUCCUUUACCAUUUUUUUUUUCAUGAAGCACAGUUGCACAACACACGCUUAACCUGAGAUGAAGCACAUAUUAGAGAAAGGUUCUCUCUAUAGCAUUAUCUAUUACUCUAAUGAGCAUGAAAAAGAGGAGAGGGGACAUGCUCUCUCUAGCUAUUAUUACCUCCACCAUAGAGUUGACAUACACAAGCUCAUUAUUGCAUUAUGUUUUAUUCAACAAAAUAACUUUAAUGUUGUAGCUUAAAUUGAAUUCUCUAAAACAUCUUUAUCUCCAGCAUAAUGUGCCUCAAGUGUCUUCUUGGUGCCUGCAUUUUCUCCAGAAUUAUAGUGCUGAAGCUAUGGAAAUGGUGAAAUUAUAUGCAGUCUGCAAAACAAUGUGGCUAUAACGUGGUAAUUGGCCUUCCACAUAAUUAAAGGAACAUUUCCUCAUCAGAGCUGUUCCAUCAGAGACCCAAAGGCUAUCGUUGUACAAAUCACCCACUUAGGAAAACCUUUAUUCCCAGUAGCCUAUAAAAAUCUGGUUAUGCAAACAGAUUUGCUUAUUCAGUAACAUUAAUGGCUCCUCAUAGUUAAAAAGUCAUCAAGGUGAUUGACCUAUAAUCUGUGUCCUCUAUGACCAAAUGUCAUUUUUAUUUUGACAGUUGGGAGCCUUUUGACUCUUUCACAGCUGGUAUGAAGACACAGGGAGAGAAAUCUCAAAAACCAACAACCUGUGUAUUCCCAGCCUAUUAAUCAAUAGAGAAUCACUUCAACUGGAUUAGGGUCUUGUACCUGGCGGAAAGGCUCUUACGGACAUUGGAAUUGGAUUUUUACACUUGAUAUGACACCUCCUUGAGUCAGAUCAGAUUCGUGUUUGAUAGACUCU